UACGUAGGGCGCAAGCGUUGUCCGGAAUUAUUGGGCGUAAAGAGCUCGUAGGCGGCCAGUUGCGUCUGCUGUGAAAUCCCGGGGCUCAACCCCGGGCGUGCAGUGGAUACGGGCUGGCUAGAGGCAGGCAGGGGAGAACGGAAUUCCCGGUGUAGCGGUGAAAUGCGUAGAGAUCGGGAGGAACACCAGAGGCGAAGGCGGCGACCUGGACAGGUACUGACACUCAACUACGAAAGCGUGGGGAGCAAACAGG
rnacentral:rRNA from 1 species